AAUAGAUACCCGGGUAGUCCACGCCCUAAACGUUGCGAACUAGGUGUUGGCGAGAUUGACCUCGUCAGUGCCGCAGCUAACGCAUUAAGUUCGCCGCCUGGGAAGUACGGUCGCAAGAUUAAAACUCAAAGGAAUAGGCGGGGGCCCGCACAAGCAGCGGAGCGUGUGGUUUAAUUCGAGGCUACGCGAAGAACCUUACCAAGGCUUGACAUGAACCGGAAAGACCUGGAAACAGGUCCCCCACUUGUGGUCGGUUUACAGGUGGUGCAUGGUUGUCGUCAGCUCGUGUCGUGAGAUGUUGGGUUAAGUCCCGCAACGAGCGCAACCCUCGUUCUAUGUUGCCAGCACGUGAUGGUGGGGACUCAUAGGAGACUGCCGGGGUCAACUCGGAGGAAGGUGGGGAUGACGUCAAAUCAUCAUGCCCUUUAUGUCCUGGGCUACACACGUGCUACAAUGGUCGGUACAACGAGGAGCUACACAGCGAUGUGACGCAAAUCUCUUAAAGCCGAUCCCAGUUCGGAUUGCAGG
rnacentral:rRNA from 1 species